GCAGGUAUAGCUCAGUGGUAGAGUACAUGCUUAGCAUACAUGAAGUCUUGGGUUCAAUGCCCAAUACCUCCA
rnacentral:tRNA from 1 species